CUGCUUUGGAGUACGCCAUGUGGAAGGCUCGCGUAGUGGAUAUCAAGCCUGGAGAGACCCGUUUGCUUCCUGGCUUACCUGAAGAAAUGGCUUUGACAGAUUCCGAUCUUAAACAUGGCCCACCACCUGGACCACCGCCACCUGGGCAUGGCGGCUUCGGUUUCUCACUUGGACCGCCAGGACCACCACCACCUGGGCUCGGCGGCUUCGGCUUUCCACGUGGACCGCCACGACCACCACCACAGGGGCAUGGCUUUUUCCCUGGGCCUCCAGGAGGGCCCGGACCACAGAAAAUGGGUCCACCCCAACCAGGUGGACAGCCACCCUGGAUGGAAGCUGCCAAUGACUCGGUUGCAUUGAUGCUAAACAGUUGCAAUGAUCUUGAGGGUCCA
rnacentral:lncRNA from 1 species